AAACGACUCUCGGCAACGGAUAUCUCGGCUCUCGUAACGAUGAAAAACGUAGCGAAAUGCGAUACUUGGUGUGAAUUGCAGAAUCCCGUGAACCAUCGAGUCUUUGAACGCAAGUUGCGCCCGAAGCCAUUAGGCCGAGGGCACGUCUGCC
rnacentral:rRNA from 1 species